CGUAGGGUGCAAGCGUUGUUCGGAAUCAUUGGGCGUAAAGCGUGUGUAGGUGGCUUGCUAAGUUGAUUGUGAAAUCCCUGGGCUCAACCGAGGAAGUGCAGUCAAACUAGUAGGCUAGAAGAUGGCAGAGGAAGGUGGAAUUCCAAGUGUAGAGGUGAAAUUCGUAGAUAUUUGGAGGAAUACCGGCGGCGAAGGCGGCCUUCUGGACCAUUCUUGACACUGAGACACGAAAGCGUGGGUAGCAAACAGGAUUAGAUACCCUGGUAGUCCACGCCGUAAACGAUGGGUACUAGAUGUUGUAGGAAUUGACCCCUGCAGUGUCGACGCUAACGCAUUAAGUACCCCGCCUGGGAAGUACGGUCGCAAGAUUA
rnacentral:rRNA from 1 species